AUAUAAGCAGCAAGCACAUCUCCCCUUGUAAAUUAUCUUCCAUCCAUUCCCACUACGUACAUCAUUCAUCAACCAGUAUUCAUGGCUCUUUCUACCAGAUCAACUACUCUUCUCAUCUCAUUUCUACUGCUUCUUUACAUAUGCUCAGUGAGUGGCAGCAGUGGUUGUGCAGAUCCCAUUUACUCUCCCCACAGCUACAAGGAUGGUUUCAGGAUACAACAUGCAAGGAAGCUCUCAUUGCUUGAUGCAACUUUAGACUACGACGAUGCACGAGCAAAUACUAAGCAUGAUCCAAGGAGGGGUGGGGGAAGGAACCCAUGACACUUUUUAAGCUCAAGAUGAAUGGUGUCACUGAGAGAUCUAGUUUUGGUUGUGGAUCGGAAGACUAUAUAUAUAUAUAGAGGGAGGUCCAGGAGAAAAUCUUGAAAAAUGAAAAACUAAUGAAUACCCUAGUAACCGUUUAUCUCAAGGUGCAUACAAAUAAUUGAAGUUGUUUUUUUGUUUCUAUGCACGUAUGCAUGUUAUGCACAUGUGCAUAUCUGACAAAUUGCUUACAAAUUACUUGUAUGUAUAUGCGUAUACCGUCCAGAUGAAUGGUUAGUAGGGUGUUCCUCAGUUUUUUAUAUUUUACGGUUCUCUCCUGAACUUGACCUUAUAUAUAUAUAUAUAUGAUAUAUAAUAUAUCUGUUUAUUUAUGUUCGUUUUCUGUAUUUCUUAAGUAUUAAUAUUUUAGAUGCCUUUGUGGGCUCAAUAAUUUGAAGGACUUAAAGGUAUCCAUCUCUACAACAAGUUCCUUACUGUACA